rnacentral:rRNA from 1 species
CAGCAUUCUGGCGGGCAUGCCUGUUCGAGCGUCAUUUCAACCCUCAGGACCCCCCUUUCGCGGGGAGGGACCUGGCGUUGGGGAUCGGCCCGCCCCCGUGGCGGCGCCGUCCCCGAAAUCUAGUGGCGGUCUCGCUGCAGCCUCCCCUGCGUAGUAG